GCGUAAAGGGUGCGUAGGUGGUCUUUCAAGUCGGUGGUUAAAGGCUACGGCUCAACCGUAUUAAGCCGCCGAAACUGGAAGACUUGAGUGCAGGAGAGGAAAGUGGAAUUCUCAGUGUAGCGGUGAAAUGCGUAGAUAUUGAGAAGAACACCAGUAGCGAAGGCGGCUUUCUGGACUGUAACUGACACUGAGGCACGAAAGCGUGGGUAGCAAACAGGAUUAGAUACCCUGGUAGUCCACGCCGUAAACGAUGAGUAUUAGGUGUCGGGGGUUACCCCCCUCGGUGCCGCAGUUAACGCAUUAAAUACUCCGCCUGGGGAGUACGCACGCAAGUGUGAAACUCAAAGGAAUUGACGGGGACCCGCACAAGUAGCGGAGCAUGUGGUUUAAUUCGAAGCAACGCGAAGAACCUUACCUAAGCUUGACAUCUCUCAGAUCGGUAGUUAAUCCUACCUUCCCUUCGGGGCUGAGAUGACAGGUGGUGCAUGGUUGUCGUCAGCUCGUGUCGUGAGAUGUUGGGUUAAGUCCCGCAACGAGCGCAACCCUUGUCUUUAGUUGCCAGCAUUAAGUUGGGCACUCUAGAGAGACUGCCAGGGAUAACCUGGAGGAAGGUGGGGAUGACGUCAAAUCAUCAUGCCCCUUAUGCUUAGGGCUACACACGUGCUACAAUGGGUGGUACAGAGGGUUGCCAAGCCGCAAGGUGGAGCUAAUCCCUUAAAGCCAUUCUCAGUUCGGAUUGUAGGCUGAAACUCGCCUACAUGAAGCUGGAGUUACUAGUAAUCGCAGAUCAGAAUG
rnacentral:rRNA from 1 species